rnacentral:rRNA from 1 species
UACGUAGGGUGCGAGCGUUGUCCGGAAUUAUUGGGCGUAAAGAGCUCGUAGGCGGUGUGUCACGUCGGCCGUGAAAACCUGCAGCUUAACUGUGGGCGUGCGGUCGAUACGGGCAUCACUGGAGUUCGGCAGGGGAGACUGGAAUUCCUGGUGUAGCGGUGGAAUGCGCAGAUAUCAGGAGGAACACCGGUGGUGAAGGCGGGUCUCUGGGCAGUAACUGACGCUGAGGAGCGAAAGCGUGGGGAGCGAACAGG